AGUGAACGCUGGCGGCGUGCUUAACACAUGCAAGUCGAACGAGAACGGAUUAUAGCUUGCUAUAAUUGUCAGCUAAGUGGCGCACGGGUGAGUAAUGUAUAGGUAAUAUGCCUCUUACUAAGGGAUAACAAAUGGAAACGUUUGCUAAUACCUUAUACUCCUUAUUAACCUAAGUUAAUAAGGGAAAGAUUUAUUGGUAAGAGAUUAGCCUGUAUUGUAUCAGUUAGUUGGUGGGGUAAUGGCUUACCAAGACUAUGACACAUAACUGGUUUGAGAGGAUGAUCAGUCACACUGGAACUGAGACACGGUACAGACUCCUACGGGAGGCAGCAGUGGGGAAUAUUGCACAAUGGACGAAAGUCUGAUGCAGCAACGCCGCGUGGAGGAUGACACAUUUCGGUGCGUAAACUCCUUUUAUAUGAGAAGAUAAUGACGGUAUUAUAUGAAUAAGCACCGGCUAACUCCGUGCCAGCAGCCGCGGUAA
rnacentral:rRNA from 1 species